UCAUAAUCUAUACGCAUGACUCGUAUAAUAGUGGGAAUAUGGCCCAAAAGUUUCUACCAAACUACCGUAAAUGGUUUGACUACGAGGAUGUGAGGGCUUUUU
rnacentral:ncRNA from 2 species